CGGGUCUAAUACUGGAUACGACCUCCGGCCGCAUGGUCUGGGGGUGGAAAGCUUUUUGUGGUUUUGGAUGGACUCGCGGCCUAUCAGCUUGUUGGUGGGGUAAUGGCCUACCAAGGCGACGACGGGUAGCCGGCCUGAGAGGGUGACCGGCCACACUGGGACUGAGACACGGCCCACACUCCUACGGGAGGCAGCAGUGGGGAAUAUUGCACAAUGGGCGCAAGCCUGAUGCAGCGACGCCGCGUGAGGGAUGAAGGCCUUCGGGUUGUAAACCUCUUUCAGUACGGAAGAAGCGAAAGUGACGGUACCUGCAGAAGAAGCGCCGGCUAACUACGUGCCAGCAGCCGCGGUAAUACGUAGGGCGCAAGCGUUAUCCGGAAUUAUUGGGCGUAAAGAGCUCGUAGGCGGUUUGUCGCGUCUGCCGUGAAAGUCCGGGGCUUAACUCCGGAUCUGCGGUGGGUACGGGCAGACUAGAGUGCAGUAGGGGAGACUGGAAUUCCUGGUGUAGCGGUGAAAUGCGCAGAUAUCAGGAGGAACACCGAUGGC
rnacentral:rRNA from 1 species